rnacentral:rRNA from 1 species
CACGUAGUUAGCAGACCCUUAUUCAACUGUUACCGUCAUAAUCGUCACAGAUAAAAGCAGUUUACAACCCGAAGGCCUUCCUCCUGCACGCGGCGUUGCUCCGUCAGGCUUUCGCCCAUUGCGGAAAAUUCCCUA